UCAGUUAAUGAUAUUCCUGCAAAAAUCUUAUUUGAUACUGGUGCAUCGCAUUCUUUCUUGUCAUACCCAUUUGCAUCGAAGCACAAUGUUGACACAGAGAUUUUAUCCAAAGUUAUGCAAGUUGUUUCUCCGGGAAAGCUUUUGACUUCUAGUUUGGUUGCUCCCAAUGUUUCCAUCAAGAUGGGAAACAAUAAAUUUUUGUCUUCUCCAGUUGUUCUUGGUGACUCGGAUAUUGAUCUUAUUCUCGGGAUGGACUGGCUUUCUAAGCACAAGGCUCAACUUGAUUGUGCUGCCAGGGAAAUUCAAUUGACACACUCUUCUGAGGAUGUGAUUAUUUAUGCCGCUCGCGAUGAAACCAUUUGGUUGUUUUCUCUCAAUGAGAAGGGCGAAUUGAAUGCCAUCUCUCAAAUUCCAGUCGUUUGUGAGUAUCAAGAUGUCUUUCCA
rnacentral:rRNA from 1 species